CACACAAGCUCCUCCUCAUCUCUCAUUCACCACCGCCACCUCCAUGUCAGCCCAAAUCAUGUCGUCUAUCGCCAGUACCACAACCAUUCUCCUUUUCUUUUGUGCAUUUCAUUGUCGUUCCUUGCUUUAGUACUUUUCUUAUCUAAUUUCCAUUUAAUUCUUAAGAGUUGUGGCCAAAUCUAAAGAAAAAGUUUUUAUAUUGAUUAAAAAAACUCAAUUAUUCAAAGCCAAAAUUCUCUCUCAAGCUUGGCCAAUAUUGCAUCCAUUCAAGAUAUUCACCAUGAGCGGCAAACAAUAACCCAACAAGUGCUAGUUUGCAUGUCGAUUUUGGUGUGGUCUUUAAUAUUGCUAAACCCCAAAUGAAAUUUCCAAGCUUUCCCUUGCUGGUUUUUCUGAUUGAUCAAAUUUUGGUCUUUGCAGUGCUCGAGUGAUGUUUCCUUGGGCCAAAUCUUUAAUAUGGAAGCACUUUCUCUGUGUGGGUUUGAGGGUUUCUUGAAGAAAAUGGACACGGUGAGGUGGCGGGUCUGAUGAAUGGGCCGGGUGGUGGAGAUUAGAUAUAAAUUGUGUGUCCCAUCAUCCUAUGGAGGCAUAAACAAACCCAUGGCAGAUCUGAUGAACUUGGGGUUUGGAGGAGAAAGAACAAAGACAAGGCUCCCUUUUCGCUGAACGAAAUAGAUGAGGCGAGGAAAUGGGUUUCUUUUUUUUUUUUUAUAAAUAAAUUUUAUUA
rnacentral:lncRNA from 1 species